rnacentral:lncRNA from 1 species
CCAAGCUUUUCCAACUGGUGUUUGGACACAGUCCUUUGUUCAGAUGGAAUCGAAUGCAGUUGCCUCAGAGAUGCUGCGCUGGCUGAAGGAGAACAGUUUGGAGACAACUGCGUUAGAGGCUGCUGGCAUGGGGGGUGGCACACCAGCCCUACACCAGCCCACUGUCUCUUCCUGACCCGCUCAGGGGACCCUCCUGACUCCCCGGGAUCUCAGGAUCAGGUCUGGUGCUCCGUCCGCACACCUGAGAGCUCCCACGAAGGCCUCAUCACCGAUCCCCACAGCCCCUCUCGCUUCCGGGUCAUCGGCUCCCUCUCCAAUUCCAAGGAGUUCUCAGAACACUUCCGCUGCCCACCUGGCUCACCCAUGAACCCGCCUCACAAGUGCGAAGUCUGGUAAGGACGAAGCGGAGAGAGC